GUGCCUAACACAUGCAAGUCGAGCGGUCCGGCAGCCAACUUAAGUUGGGAGCCGGAUAGCGGCGGACGGGUGAGUAACGCGUGGGCAACCUACCCUUAAGACCGGGAUAACACCUCGAAAGGGGUGCUAAUACUGGAUAAGCUCCUUGUAGGGCAUCCUAUGAGGAGGGAAGGUAGCGGGAGCUACCGCUUAAGGAUGGGCCCGCGUCCCAUCAGCUAGUUGGUAGGGUAACGGCCUACCAAGGCGACGACGGGUAGCCGGCCUGAGAGGGUGGUCGGCCACACUGGGACUGAGACACGGCCCAGACUCCUACGGGAGGCAGCAGUGGGGAAUCUUGCGCAAUGGGCGAAAGCCUGACGCAGCGACGCCGCGUGAGCGAGGAAGGCCUUCGGGUCGUAAAGCUCGAUAGUGUGGGAAGAAGGGAUGACGGUACCACACGAAAGCCCCGGCUAACUACGUGCCAGCCGCCGCGUUAAU
rnacentral:rRNA from 1 species